rnacentral:rRNA from 1 species
UACAGAGGGUGCGAGCGUUAAUCGGAAUUACUGGGCGUAAAGCGUGCGUAGACGGUUAUUUAAGUCGGGUGUGAAAGCCCCGGGCUCAACCUGGGAAUUGCAUUCGAGACUGAAUAACUAGGGUACGGUAGAGGGAAGUGGAAUUUCCGGUGUAGCGGUGAAAUGCGUAGAUAUCGGAAGGAACAUCAGUGGCGAAAGCGACUUCCUGGACCAGUACCGACGUUCAGGCACGAAAGCGUGGGGAGCAAACAGG